rnacentral:lncRNA from 1 species
AGUGACUUCCAGCACAUACAUAAGAUAAGAUGCUUUGAUUCCCAAGGGUUACAGGAAACCUGAGGGAAUCAAAGUGUAACAAGGUACAUAAUAAGCAUAAAGGUACUUAACAUAAUAAGUGAUCCUGGUCACUUUUCUAUCUUAAUCUAACGAUCUAUAACCAUCGUAAAGUUGGUCGUACAGGAUCUGAGUUUUGUCUUAUUCCAUACUCAUACAUAUAUAUAGUGAACUACGCGUAUAAUAUGAUUUAAUUUGGAAACAUGGAGUUCAAAGAUGCCGAGAUAGAUCCAACUAUUGCCUCGGAAACUUUUGUCACAAAUCGAAGAACAGAUCGUUUAACAUACUCCUUUAUCUGAUUGCUGUAAUCAUUUUCAAUAUCAUGAGCUCUAUCCCAAAGCACAACUCCUCCAUAGUUUGAAGUCUGUUUAAUGAUAGGAAGAACCUUAGAAAUGAGAUCAUCUGGUGGGAUAUAACCUUCACUAGCUGCAUCAGGUGAUGCUGGUAGUCCCAUGAAAACAGUAUUAUUUGGUAGAACUGAAGAUGUCCAAGCAUUCCAUGAUUUUAAGAGGUCUGUAGCAUCUGAGUUUAUUUGAUCAUAUUGACAUGGAGUGUUAUGGUAGAAUUGAACAAGUAUAUAAUCAAACAAGCCAGUUUUGAUAGCUUUGUCAAGGUAGUAAUCUGGCAUAGGACAUUGGGGUGCCGCAGACAAGUAAAAGUAACUGCAAGAGAUAAAAGGUUGAUUUGUUAGUUAGGAUAUGUAAGCAAAAUGAAUUCAAAAUAAUAGAGAGCUAAUUUUUUAAUGAUAAAUAUUAUAUGAGUCAAGCGAACAAAGUCCUUAGAACACUUUUUAAGGAUUCAAAAACGAAAACAAUGAUAAAUUUUAUCGAAAAUGUUAUAUAAACAUCAUUAUUCUCAUAAACCUUUUGUACACCUCAUGCAUUAGGAAGAGAGAAGAGGAGAUGAAAGAGAAAAUGUGUUUGUGUGGGGUCCACGUAACCACAUGUCAGAUUUUUGUGUGGGUGUCAAGGGGUGUAUUGCCACCUAUAGUUGUCUAUGUAUCAUAACUCAAAUUUUAUAUAUAAAAAGUUGCUUUUAAUUUCAUCAAUGUGUAGAAUACAUAAUUACCAAGAUAAUUUUUUCACUUUGAACUUUUUAACAAGGACACUUGUUAGCAUUUUUCGUAUCAUAUAAAAUCAAAUCAUCAUAAAUUUUGAAAAGAAGUAUACUAAAGACGAGAUUAGGGUGUGUUUGAUUUGCAAAAUAGUAAGUGCAAACAGAACAAUAUAUGACAUGACAGAACACUAUAACAUGUAAGAAGUAUUUUUUUCUUCAUAUUAAGUUUCACAUAUGCAAUAAUUUUAAAUUACUAGUUAAGCAUUACUUACCUUGUUUUUUUUUUACUAAUAGGAUUAUAUAUAUAUAUUCCUUUUAAAAAUAAGAGUAUAUAUGUAUUUAUUCUAUCAUUCCUUAAAAAAAAUGUAUUUAUUGUAUCUCAAAUCACUUUUUUUUUUUACUAAAUUAAGAGCAUAAAGAAAUCAAAGGGAAUAGAAGACAUCAUCAACUAAAUUGGCACCCCUUAUUUCAAACCACUAAUACUCUAUUAACCACUAUUAAUAAAACAAGACUAAUAAAAUUAACCUCAUUUUAUCUUAUUUUGUACAUUCAAUGAUUAUCUUAAGAAAUGUUCUACUUCUACUAGGAGUAUAGUUUAUGAAUCUCUUUUUAUAAAAGUGGGAUGGGAUGAUGUGGUCAACUUUUUCUUCAUUUUUUUAUAUAUUUAUUUUUACAUAUAUUUUUAGUUUUAUAGUUUCAAGUUGUACUAUGAUGCUAAAACUUUUCAUUCAAAAAAUAUUACCUGUUUUGUUGUCUUAGGUUGUCAAGUUCCCUAGCAAGGUCAUCCCAGUAAAGAUUUGUAGCAGCUCCUUCAAUGUCAAAAUCAAUACCAUCUAAGGUAACACUUCCAAGUGGACCAAAUUGACCACUAAGAAAGUUAGUAUAGAGGUAAUCAGAAAGAUUUUUAGCUUCUUCCGAUGAGUUAAGGGCUCCUAAUGCUGCGAGGGAAAGUAAAACUUUGAACCCUUUUUCUUGACAGUGUUUUAUUUCGGGUUCGAGUUUUCUGCAAUUCAAGCCAUCACAAUGGCCUGCAAAGUUCAAACUUGGGACUCUUCCUCCUCCAAAGAAUUCAAGGAAAGUUAAGAGUACAAUAUCGUAAUUAUCAGUGUCACAUGUUGAUGUCAAGGUGCCUUCUGUUACGUUUUGGCCCCAGUAGAUGGCAAUGCCACCACUUGAAGAUGCUUUGAUAGUGAAGGGAAAUAUUGUUAAGACUAACAAAAGGAGCAAUGCUUGCUUUUUUGUAUCCAUUUUUUGCUUUUUGUGUUUAGCUAGUUUGAUUACUUUAGAUCGAUUGGGCAACCCUUUUAUAAGGUCUCUGAUAAGGUUAUGUACAUUUAUUUUAUUGUAUAAAAUAAAUUUUAUUCUAAUGGUAAAUAAAAAGGCAAAUUCUACGGUACAUCCAACAUAUUUGAGUGUCUUGGUACACCAGACCUUUAAAUUUAUAGUUAAAUGAAUUAUUUUUAGAAGAAAUUUUUUUUUUUUUAUCAUUUAUAAUUAUAAUAAUUAAAAUCUUAUUCACCAAAAGCAUCAACGAAUUAAAAUUGAAUUUUUAUCGCUCAUAAUAGAGAACUUUGAUUAUUUUAUAUGAUAAUAUGUAAAAAAACUUAUUAUGACUCUUAUAAACAAUGAAUGUUGUGUUUUUCUUAUGAAAUGAUAUUUUCUUAGAUACAAAUGCCGAGAAAUAACUUUUUAUUUCAUAAAAUUGAUUGUUAAUGCAUAAAUUUAGGAAGCAAGAGUACCAAUACACCUUAAUUUAUGAGUGUACAGUAGAAGUUCCAAAAAAAAUAAAACUACGAGUAAAUAUAAUAUUGAGUAACUUAGCAUCCAGCCCACCAAAAUAGACUUUUUGGGACACGUUUUUUUUCUUUCUAAAAUUGAAACUUCCCACGACUAUAUCAUGGGGUCCCAAGACCAUAUUGUAUGGACUCUUUGAAUUUCCUAGGGGACUCUUUGAUAUUUGCUAGGAGCAAUGUUUUUAACUUCGUUUUCCAUGUUAAUGUUUUCAACUUGCCAAAUUUCAUAUAAAAAAGUUGUAUUUGUCCUUUUCAACUUAUGACGGAGCCAGAAUGCAUGCAUGCAGAGCAAAAUAGCCUAGGUUUGUCUGUACAACGUGAAAUGCAUGUGUUGUUUUUGUGGUUCUUUCGAUUUUUUUUUGUCUUUUUUACCUUUUAAAAUUACUCUCAACUUUCAAUGCAAAUAUUACAUAUAAUAAAAUGUAACAAAUUGUACAUGUCCGAUUUUUUCCUUAUCACUUAGAAAAGAUAAUAGAAGAAAGUGAAUUCAAAUAUUAAAAAAAAAAAAGUAACAAACACCCGUUCAAAAAAAAUGUAACAAACACAAUAUUUUUUUUUGUUAUCACACAAAAUAUAUCACGUAAGAAACACACGAUAUGAGUAUAUGUCCAGUUUUUUUUUUUCUUUAUCCUUUAAAAAAAAUAUAACAAACUAGAUCAAAUAUAUGUCACUAUAAAUAUAAUCAAUAAAAAAUGAUCGUUAUUUUAUUUUUAUUUUAUAUACAAACAAACUAUAAUAUGCCAAAUUGAUAAAUUAUUUCGUUAUAUGCUUUGACAAUAAUUUGUAGAUAAAUAGAUGUACAAAUAAUUUUCAUUAAUAUUUAAAAAUUGAAAUAAAAAAUAUACAAACAAAUAUAAUAAAAUAUCCACACACGUUAGCACGGUAAAAAGAACGAACAGACAGACAUGGUAGUGCCCGUCUUUCUGCUAGUGUUCAUAACAUUACUUAUCUAUCAUGGUAGAACUGGUCUAGUGAUUUUGAUUCGGAUAUAUGUUUUGAUAUAUAACAUUAUUCAUGAUCACUUUGUUCAAUUUGUUUAUUUAAUUAACAGAUGGUUUUAAAGCACGAUGCUCUUUUUUACAGCUUAUUUGACUCUUUUGUUCUUGGAUUUUGUGGAACGAAAGAAAUAAUAGAUUAUUCAAGAAUAAGGAAAGUUUCGUAUACCAGUUGUUUGAUAAAAUAAAGUUACAUUCCUUUUGAUGGAUGAAGGCAACACAUGCUAAUUUUGGUUUAGGCUAUGACAUCUGGUGGUCGACCACGCUUGUUUGUUUGAGUAUCGACUAAUUUUGUCUAAGUGUGUUUUGUUUUUUGGUUGACUUUGUUCUAAACUUUUGUGGACUUUUUGGCACACCUUAUGUUAAAGAGGUUUCUCUUUGGUGUUAAUAUAAUCUAUUUUUGCUUGUUAAAAAUAAAUAAUAUUACAACGACCGUUAAUUAUAAUUAUAUGAUUUUGAAUUCAGAAUCGUUUUUUAUUUCAUAAAGUUUACAUACAAUAUUGCAAUGACCGUUACUUACAAAAUGAACAUUACAUUUGCUUAUAAAUUUAUUUUUGAGAUAUCUCUCAAUCGUUAUCUUUUUUCUCUUAUAGCUCACUUUUAAAAGGAGGUAUACGGUCUGUUUAUUUAACUAGAAAAGGAGUAGUGAUACAUAAACCACCUUAGAUGGUAUGUAUCACUUGUACACCCACAUACAAUUUUGAUAAGUGUCCUUGUGGUCCCCCCACACACAAAAAAACUCACAUGUAUUGUCUCUCACACACUCUCACAUGGAGUGGUACAAUGUGUGUAUGGAAAAAAGUGUGUACAUGAAACAUUAUCCAUUUUUUUUCUGUUAUUUUUAAGAGUAAUGAUACAUAUACAUCCUUAGGUGGCAAUACAUUCCUGAACACCCACACAAAAAUCUGACACGUAACUAUAUAUAUGGACCCCAUACAAGCACACUUUCUCUUUCAUCUCAUCUUCUCUCUUCCAAAUAUAUGGGGUGUACAAGGGUGUAUGUAAAUAAAGGAUGUCUAUGUAACAUUUUCCUAUUUUUAAUCAUGAGAGUUCCCAACGAAGAUAAGAAAUUAACGGUGACAAACCGUGAAAGACCUGAUGCUCAAACGGUGUCCCUCCUAACUUCAAAGGCUUAUUGAUAGGUACCACAAAACUUAUGUUCCCCAUGGGCCAGAAGAACAUAAACAACCUGACAGGUACAAGGGUCGGGAAGUCACAAACUCCUAUAGCCCCCUACACGUCAUCAGGAUGCUUUGUUUUCCCCUUGCGACAGAUCAAGGUCGACGAAUCAAAAAACACACUUCAUCCAAGGAGACUACCCAAGGCAUGAACCAACUCCGAGGACACCGAAUUGGACGACAUGAAGUUACGGUCUGGGUAACUCGAAGACACCAGAAAACAUCAGGCUGGACGACACGAAGCUACGAACCCGGUGACUUAAGGGGUCCUAGAAAUCCCAAAUCGGACGACACUAGGCUACGGCAACGGAAACUCCAUGGACCUCACAACAAAUAUUACUCCUCAAAGCCUGAAAUCCAUGGCAUGGGACUAAGUCUCAGACCUCUAAGGCGUACUUCAAAACAGAGAGCUUUAUCAAGCUACAGUCUCCCUCAGCCCAUGCCUUGGGGGGGCUAUUGUUCUCGACUGCCAAAAGCCCAAUUCGGCUCCGCUUGGGUCUUACCCGAGUCCAUUAAGCAGGAAACACCUUAUGAUGGAUACGCCUAAAAUCAACCAGAUUACGGUGCGGUUCGAGGGUUAUACACGAGGUCUGGGGAUUGACCACGCCCACAAAGGCCGAAGUCCACUCCUUAGGGUCGUGGGUUACCCAUGUCCAUACCAACAUGUACGAUUGUAAGGAUAAGGUUUUCAAGAGCCCUACCUAACCCCUAUUUUUACUCAAGUGUUAGCUUUAGGUAAGGUAUGACACUUCUUACCCUAAACUUGUGCCCUCUUCUCUUGAACUCCUCACUUAUUUGGGCAUAGGAGCGUGUGCAGGUACACAACCCUCUACUGUCUCACUGGAGGUUGACGAUCAACCUCGUCGAAGUCAUCAGUGGAUCAACCUUAACAGGCGGUAGAUCCAAGUAGCUCAACCAUCCUCUCUUUGGUCCAAUCGCAUCAAUAACCAAAAAAAAAAAAAAUUCCAAUAAUCCUCUAAGUAAAUAGACUGAGAUCCAAAGGUAAUCCAUCCAUAACAAAAAAAAAGAAGACAAAUCUUUAUAUUCUUUGACCAAAGCAAAAUAGAAUGUGGCGGCGGGAUACGACAGCACGUACUGUGCUUCGACAUGCAAUACAUCGACGUUUAGCUGGAGAAUUGAGACACCUUCAUCUAAUGUUAGCUUAUAGCACUAAAAAAUAGUGGGGAGAAUUUUUUGACAAAAGAGAGAGAGAGAGAGAGAGAGAGAGAGAGAGAGAGAGAGAGAGAGAGAAACUAUUAAUUUGGGUGAGAAAUUACUUUAAAUUUAAUAACGAUUAAAAAAGAGAGAAGGGGGUUUUCCUUUCAAAAGAAGAUAGGUGUAGGAUGUUAAUAAACACCCUUUAAAUUAAGGUGGGUGUCUAUUUGCAUUACCCAAUUAUAAAUGUUUUAUUUUGAGUUGUACAAAUAUCUAUAUAUGUCAUUAUGAGAUUAUGGUUGGUGAUACAAGUUUAUACAGAGUAUUUUGAUUUUGAAAAAUACUAAAAUUAUAAAGGAUAUUCUAUCAAAUAACUUCAAGGGUUUGAUCUAGUGAUAAAAAAAAAGUGAUAUUGGAUUCGAAGAUUCUGCCUUCCAACUCCGCUACGUUUCUUAGAGAGAGGUAAAUGUAGAUUCAUUUAUAAGUAUUAUUUGUGCAUUAAAAUCUUUUCUGAUUUGGACCGUGGUACCAUCCGAGCAACAUAAUUUUUUUUUAAUCAGAAAAAACAUCAACCAGUGGUCGCAAUAUUACCAUCAAUUAUAUAUAUAAUCUCAAUUUUAAUUAUGAAUCGAAAAUAAACAUAAAAAUCUGAAGGAGAAUAGAAAGAAAAAAACAAUUGUAAGGACAAAAAUUAUCAUUUUAAAGGCUAAAAUAAUGUAAUGAAAUCAAAGUUGCAACAAAUGUUAUAUUUAAGAGAUCUAAAAGUCUCUGUUUUUUUUUAGAAAUGAUAUUUGUACAACCAUUUGUGACAACUUUUAGGAUAACUUUCUCUCUCAUACUCAUAUGAUGUUCUUUUUAUCUCUCUUUUUCUCUCUUCAUUGUUUUUUACUAAUAAGAAGAGAGAAAAACAAGGUUGUCAUGAAAGUUGUCUUAAAAUAGAUGUACAUAUAUCACUACUUUUUUUUUUUUUUUUAUCUGCAGCUGCAAACUUGACUGCAGCUCCUGCUGGUACGCAUCUAGCAGCUGUUAACGUACUGUUACUUCUACUGUAACAGAUGCUGCUCCUGCUGUUUUCCAACCAACUGCUGCUAGCGCUCUUGCAAGCGAUGUUCCAGCUGCUGCCCAGCAGCGGUGGAAGCCUCCUGAGCAUGGCCGCAUAAAGUACAACGUUGAUGCGGUGUUCUCUAGUCACCGUAACAAAACGGGCAUUGGUAUUUGCAUCCGCGACGAAGAGGGAGUAUUUGUGUUGGCUAGAACAGUUAGCUUUAUUUCUUGGUGUCUAUCCGGUUGACAUUGGGGAAGCUUUGAGCCUUUACCAUGCGCUUCAAUGGACAAGCGAUAUGCACCUUGAUAAUAUUGAUUUUGAAGUCGACUCUAAAAUCACAAAAGAUGCUCUUUAUUCGUGUCGGGAAGAUAUAACCGAAUUUGGUAACAUCAUCACAGAGCUUCCUGGUCUUUUUACUCUUGUCCAAGUUUAGCAACUCUACGGUGGAGUUUGCUAGGCGACAAGAUAAUGUGGUGGCUCACACUGUUGUAGGAGAAGCCAUAUUCCUCGCUAGUCCCGCUAUUUAUUAUCAUAUACUCAAUUGUAUUGAAACUUUGAUUAUCAAUGAAAUACUAUAAGCACCUUUCCCACAAAAAAAAAAAUCUCUUUUUUUUAAUACUCGUGUUCGUCUAAAGGUCUAAUUUAAAAAAGGGAGAACUAGUUUUGUAAACGUGAUAAAAUAAGGAUCAAAAGUAAAAUUUCUCAUUUUAUAUAUGAGUGGCACAUAUUUGUCUAAUUCUUUUAUUUUAUUUACAAGAAUGUCUAAUUAUUAAACUUUUUCAAAAAAAAAUGUCUAAUCAUUUUUUUUUUCUUUUUGAGGGAAUGUCUAAUUAUUUUAUAAGUGACACAUAUCUUGUAGUAUAUUGGAAAUUCCUAAAACACACCUUAAAAUCCUGAAAAAUGUUCAAACUCCUCCCCUGUUAUCAACUUGAAAUCUUUAUUCAAAAAAUUAAAAAGACCCUUCUUAUUACAUUCACUCUCAUAUUAAAUUUUCCACACUGAUGACGGAGCCAUAAUGCAUACAUGCAUAGCAAAAUAGUCAAGGUUUGUUUGUACAACGUGAAAUGCAUGUGUUUUAUGUUUCUUUCGGCUCUUUUGGACCAUCUUUUUUACCUUUCAAAAUUAUCUUCAACUUUCAAUGUAAAUAGCACAUAUAAUAAAAUGUAACAUAUUGUACAUGCUCAAUUUUUUUAUUAUCACACAAAAUAUAUCAUGUAAGAAACAGAUAUGAGUAUAUGUCCAAUUUUUUUUUCUUUAUCCUUUGAAAAAAUAUAACAAACUAGAUCAAAUAUAUGUUACUAUAAAUAUAAUCAAUAAGAAAAUGACCAUCAUUUUAUUUUUAUUUUAUAUACAGACAAGCCAAAAUAUACCAAGUUGAUAAAUAAUUUCGUUAUAUGUUUUGACAAUAAUUUGUAAUCGAUGUAGGAAUAAUUUCGAUUAAUAUUUAAAAAUUGUAAUAUAAAGUAUACAAACAAACAUAAUAAAUAUACACACACAUUAGGGCGGUAAAAAGAGCAGAUAGAAGGGCACAAUAGUGCCCGUCUUUCCGCUAGUGUUCAUAACAUAACUUAUCUCUCUCGGUAGAACUUGUGUAGUGAUUUUGAUUUGGAUAUAUAACAUAUUCAGGAUCAUUUUGUUCAACUUGUUUAUUUAACAUAUGAUUUUAAAGCAUGAUGCUCUUUUUUACAGCUUGUUUGACUCUUUGUGUUUGAGUUUUGUGGAACGAAAGAAAUAAUAGAUUAUUCAAGAAUAAGGAAAGUUUCGUAUACCGGUUGUUGGAUAAAAUUAAGAAUAUCCAACAAAAUAUAUAUAUAAUUAUUGUGGUCCUUAGUGAAUCCAAAUUCUAGGAGCAAUACUUGCUCGAAACCUCGAAAUAGUUUAUGCAUACUUUUUAAAAGGAAUCAAUAAUACAAAUCUAAUUUAUAGUUAUUCUGUCAACUAACAAGAAUCCCAUUUCAAAACAAUAUAGUUCAUAAAUCUUAAUUGUUUCAAAAUUAAAGUAGCAAUAAUAUUAAAUUCAUAAGCACAAUACCUACUAUUUCAUUAGAAAAAAAAUUAUGAGGAGCAUUCUACCAAAAAGAAAAACAAAUAAGCGAGCACAAAUUAUACAAAACAAAUAGUAUAUGGAUGAUACAAUCUAAAAAUAAAGUUCAAUUUAUCAUGUGAGACUUUUUCUUUUCAAUCAAUGACUACUCUUAUGUUCAAUCACAAAUGUGAUCUAUCUUUCAAAAAAAAUUUGAUAUUAUUUUCUAAAUUUUGCUACUUCAGGAGCACAUUCAAGAGACAUAAAUAAUUAUUUUUUAAUCAUUUCGAUAGAAUUUAUACUAAGAUCAAAUAGAUCUUAUAUAUUUGAAUUGUGGUCAAGAACUCCACAAACCUGUAUGAACAAUAAUCAAGUAAAAAGAUCUUAUGGUCAAGAACUCCACAAACCUCUAUGUACAAUAAUCAAGUAAAAUCACAUUUUUACAAUCCUUAAAGGAUGAUUUAAUAUUAAAUUUUAGUUCUUCAGGAGCUAUAUUCCUAAUCUUUAUAAACAAUGAUCAAGAAAGUUCUUUAUUUGAGCGAUUCUUCGGGGAUCCUUAAAAACAACAAAUUAAUUCCUCGAUAACUACAUUACAUUCUCAACGUGUAACUCUUCAAUACUUUCAUUUUAAAAGUUAUACAAAGGUAAAAUAAAUCUUAUUUUCAACCAUAAAUCUAUCAACACCAAGGAAGAUCAUAAUUUUUGGAGUAAAUUACACUUCCCUCCCCUCAAAGAUGCUUGAAUUACACUCCACUCCCCUCUUAUGUUAAAAUAUACACUCCCCUCCCCUCUUAUUCAAAACAUAUUAGAAAACUUUUCACUCCCCUUUCCUAAGAGAAGCUUGAAUUACAUUCCCCUCCCCCCUUAUGUUAAAAUCUACACUUUACUCUUUCAAUAUUUAUUUUUUAUUUCAAAUAAUCUAGAAAAAUAAUAAUAAUCUAACACACUUCGAAAAAAUAGUAUUACGAGUCUAUUUUAAUAGAAUAAAAAAUUAAAUACAUAUUUUCGCUAUUUUUUAUUUACAAUUUCAUUAACAUGUAGUUUUAAACCCUAUUAUAAAAUAUGAAACAACCAAAACUAAAUUAAAAUAUGUGAAAAAUUUACUAAAGACAAUAAAAUAUGGUUAUUUAAAAGUUAAUUUUAUACUCUAAAUUAUCAAAUCAAUAGCAAAAUAUUUAAAUUUAAUUAUCAUUGACAUUUAAAUUUUAAAGAAAUGAAUUGAUUUUUUUUAAAUGAUGGUUCAAAAUUAUUAUAUAUCAUAAAAAUAUUUGUUUAUCUUAAAAUAGAUUAAAGUGUAGUGAAUAUUUAAUUAUUAAGGGAGGGGGUUGUAAUUCAAGCAUCUUAUAAGGGAGGGGAGUGUAAAUUUUAUUUUUCAAGGGAGGGGAGUGUAAUUCAAGCAUCUUUGAGGGGAGGGGAGUGUAAUUUACUCUAAUUUUUGUUAUCCUUUAAGGAUGUUUGAUAUUAAAUAUUUAGUUCUUCAAGAAAUAUACAUAUCUCAAACCUUCAUAAACAAUGAUAAAAAUAUGAUUCUUUGCAAUCCUUCAUGGAUGCUUUAAUCUUUUAUUUUUUUAGUUCUCCAGGAAUUAUAUAUCACACAUGAUCAAGAACAAUUCAUUCUUAUUUGUUAUCCUUGAGGGAUGCUUCAAAGCAAAUUCUUUCAAAAUUUGACAAGAAUAAACAAGAAAUAUCUGAUACCUGUACAAGUCAAAGAAAUUUUUCAACAAAAAUUAUAUGCAAAAAUAUAAAUAUAGAUCAAUCAAGUUAACCAUAAAAAAAUUAGUUAAAUGAAUACAAUCAAGUUAAACUUGAAAAAUAAUUUCACAUAUGAUUCAAGAGUAAAUAAUGAAUUGUGAUAAAAUAUAUAAUUGUGAUAGAGAUGCACACAAUAAUCAAAACAAAAUAAACUUGGCCAAUGGUUAAUUUUUGUAUAGAUGUACAAGAUAAGUAUUAUUCAAUAUGUUACUAGAAUAUGGGGAGGGCAGAGCAAUAUGUUACAAAUUAUUACACUAUAAAUAAUUUUCGUAGAGAUAUGGAAAGAAAAGAGACCUUAAUUCAAACUUAAGCAACUCAAACAUAUUGUAUUAGGCAGUAAUAUUCUCGAUCAAUAUGAAAGGAAAAAUAAACCAAGCAUGAUUUAAGGGAUUGUAAAAGAACUAUGAAGAACAGAAAAUGCAUGAUAAUUUCAAAAAGACAAUAUCUCAUACAUGCAUAUGAAUCAAUAUUAUACAAACAUGGUGCAUGAACAUAAAAACUCAAUGAAAAUGAUUAUUUCACAUACAAGCAUACAUGAAUCAAUAUUACCUUUGAUUGAUAAAGCUUCGUGCUGAUAACAUCUUAUAAAAUUAAUCUAAAGUAUUGUAAGAUAUUGUACAACAUAGAAGAGUAGAGAGAAACGGAUAAAGAGAUAACAUGGGUCCUAUUUAUAUGAUACAAAUAAGCAAGUGAAAGAUCACAUGUAAUCAAAGAGCACUAACAAUUCAUUCACUAAUUGGAGUUAUAAGAAUCCUUAUUAUCUAAUCAUAACCUACAAUGCACACAACAUUUGCAAAACCCUAAUCCUUGCAUUUGAGCGGGAAAAUGUGAUUUAACCAUAUUUAAUUGCAUUUUUGAAUUUCAAAUCCUAUACCCUUAAUGACAUAGCGCGGUAAACUAUCCCUCACGGCCAUUAAAUGCACUCUUUAGUUUUUCCAAACUAUUUGCAUGAAAUCUGUACAUGACUAUGAAGAGUCUCUACAUUGCUAAUCAAUGUUUCCUACUUUCCAAUGAAACAGUUACCAUUUCCAAGGCAUGCACAUGGCUCAAUGUUACCCACUCUUCUCAAUCCAAAGGCAUGUGAACCAGCCAUAGCAAAACUAUUUCCUUCCUUUUGCUCUCUCUCUCUCUCCUAUCACGCCAUUUUUCUCUGAUCUGAGAAAUUCAUCUUCCAUUUUCAGUCCCUCUUCUCUCUCCCGUGGCGGCGCCAAAUCUGGCCAUUUCAUCUCCGCCGCAACCGUGAUUCCGACCCACAGAAACCAUCACAAUUCAACUUCUCCAGAGAAAGAGAAAGAUGUCAUCGUAAUAUGAACCGAAAUCUUUCGUCGUUUCUCUCUCCCUUCAUCGACGAUGCUUCUUCUGUUGCUAAAUCUUAAACAUCCAUCAUGCUUAAUGUUUUAUUCCAUCGUUGUUCAGAUUUGUUGAUUUUGUGAAUUUUCUCUCAAGGUAAUAGUUUUACCCUUUCUAUGAAUUGAAUUUUGUUUCUCUGAAGUUUAGUUCUCAGUUUCACUUUCAUCCCCUAGAAUCCUUAUGGAGUCAAUCAUUCUUCAUUAUUCUCAGUUUAUCUCCCUCUCCAACGCUUAAGAUGACUCAGAUUUUAAAAAAUCGGAGGUAUUGAAUGUUCAGGUAUUCCCAAAAUUGUUCAUCUUUUCACUUUCACCUUCUUCAUCAUUUCGGUGAUGAUUCAAUUUAGUUGGUUAAGGUAAGAAUGGAAUGGAACGUGUUACAUCAGUGUUAGGUACUCCCUCUCUCACUAUUUUUCCUCUCAUUUGCAAAUCUCUACCACCACUUUGUCUUUUUGAAACAUUUUCUUUUAACUCAAUUUAAUUUUGAAUUCCUAAAUUGCAUUAAGAAAGUGAUUGUUGAUGAUGAUAUCAUCAAACACUUCAACAUAUUAUGUAAUAUAAAAUUUUCAUGUCAAUCAAAUUAUGUUUAAUUCGUAUAAUGAGAAUUAUAUUAAACCAUUAUUAUUUAGGAAUUCACGCUACAACUUUUAAUACGAAUCCAAUUUUUUACAAGGAAUGACAGACUCAACUUAUACGAUAUUAACUCUGUCAUUCCCUCAUUAACUGAUCAAAGUGAUGAAUUUGUUGUAUUUGAUGAGUCUGUACAAACGAAUAUGUCGAAGCUGUAACUGUGGAAAGGUGCUGGAUUUGUUGAUGUGUUAGUUGAAGGAUGUUGUUUGUCAUUAGUUAACCGUUUUAAUUUAGAAUGGAUUCUGUCAAAAUGCAUUGCCCAUUCAAGAGUUUGAAAUUACUGUGAUCAAUUAGUUGGGCUAUAUUUGAAAAUGAAUAAUGAGAUUUGAUUACUAGCUGCAGGAUUACUUCUAAUUAACUCCUAGAGCUCCCUAUGAAGUGUUUUUUUUUUUUUUUUACGCAUAUGAAGUGUUAAAUAUUAUGUUAUUAGUUUGUAUGCUAUUAGCAAACCCAUUUUAUCAUUACAACAUUUUCAAGUUAAUAAUAAAAUGUAUAGAUUUCCAUUAUUGGUGAUGGCUGUGAUAAAUUUAUAAUAUUAUGCUUCCUAAUGGACAUGUAUAAAUAAUUGUCUAUAAUUUGAAGUUUUUCUCUUUUUUUGGAAAUCUGAUGUGGUUUCCUGGGUAUUUUCAGCAUGUAAACUGUUUGCAGCAAAGUUUUCUGAUGGUACAAUACUGCAGCAGAGCAUAAAGGCAUGCAUUUUGUUCCUAGAUUUUGAUCAAUCUCUGCGUAAUCUUUCAUAGUUUCUAUUAAAACUAUUUUCAUACUUUUUGUGGUGUUGUCUUUCUUUCUUUUGAGUUAUGAUGUCUUGAAUCCCUCAAUGCAAGUGUGAUUACAAUGAAGUAUUGGAGUUCUUUACAUUUAAGACUCACUAUUUGAUUUAGUAUUUAUACAAAUUGGAUGUAUGUUGCCUUUAAGAUUUUUUUUUGUUUCGGUUUUAAAUAGGAAGGAUAAACCAUUAAAGUCCAAUAGGCUGUGUGAUAUCUAUAUAUAAUGUAUUUUCCUUCAUGUAUUUAGCUAUCAUGUAAGUGUUGCUGACACAUUCUUCCAAUGAAUGAAAGUACUUAAAGUAAAUUCAAGUUUCAAUUUUGACUAUAUUGUGUUUUGGAUUUUUAUUUUCAAAACAAAUAGUAGGAUUGUAGUUGUGGCUUAUGUUGCCUUUGUUUCAAUGUUUUUCCUUAUCUGAGUUGAUUGUCAAUGUUCUAUUUACACAUGUUUUUCUUCACGUGCUAUAUAUGCGAUGCAUUUCCUUCGAGACAUUGAAUUUUCUGUUGCAAAUAGGUUUAAUUACAAGGACACCGUAUAUUAUUAAAAUUUUCUCAAGACAUAUUCUUUGCUAAAUUGACGAGAAAUAAUCUUGAAAUGUAAUUUGCAUUUGGUUCUGAACAUCAUUUGCUUAACACCAUUUUUAUAUUUAACAUUCCUAUAAUGAUUCAUUUUGAUUUGAAUUUUUAUGCAUGUUAACAGCUUUGUUUCAGAUGUAUUAAGUUGAAUUAUGAAUGAGUUCUUUGAUUGAAAAUUACACAAUCAUAAGUAGUAGUAUGUGUCAUUUCUUAGAUAUCAUUACCCUGAACCUAUGAUUUUUUUUUUGGAUGGAAAUCUGAACCUUUAGGAUUGCUUCAAAAAGUUCUAACUAAAAUUUGAUUUCAAGUGUUCAUUUGAUAAAAAAUUAAUUACAGUUAGCUUAGAGCUUCUUCAUUCUUGAGUGUGGGAUUUACAUUGUAGUUUGGAUUGAUAUAGUUUUUUGCUCUAAUAUAUAUUCCUUUAAUGUUGCUACUACUUCAUGCAGAUUUCUAUUGAGGCAUUUCCUCAAAAUUGUUGCAAAUUUAUCUUGGUGGAUGAGGGUGGAGAAUGUGUUCCUUACAUGUGCAGUGCUGCUUAACAUGUGAUGGUUUAGUUUUAGCAAGCCUCUGAGAUUAACAUUGGAAUAUGUGGUCAUUUGUGUUGCUGAAGGGAUAUUUUCUCUUUCGCUGUUUUCUCUUUCUGUUUUCUCUGCAACUGUUCCGACGUUCUCCUCCAUUCCGAUUUCUCUCAUCACGGCAGCACGGGCGCGAAUAUGUAACUCCGGCGUCACCGAACAAACCAUCGCCGUCGUCAACUUUCAUCACGUCAUUACCAUCACCGCCAUGACAAUGACUCCGUUGCCGGCAGUCCCCUCAAUCCUCUUCAGCGAUCUCAUCCUUUAGGUACUUCCGACCCCACCUUUAUUUUAUUUGUGUUUGAUUUUUUUUUUUUUUUUUUUUGAUUGAAGGUUUGAAAAAUCAUAAAUCACAUAACUCAUGUGUAUAUGUUUUACUUGAUUAAAGGUUUAUGAAGAAAUCUUACAUCAAUAUGACAAUAUCAAGAAAAAGAUUGUUCAGGAUGCUCUUAAUCUAAAUAAGAUCGAUUUUGUUCUUAACCUUAAGCCCAAUUGUGAUGAUUUUUUUCUCUGUUUCUGAUUUUGUUUAAAUUUGUGAAUUUUGAUUAGAAUUUUUUUUGGAAAGAUAUUAUUGUUUUCGUUGCAUUGGGUUUCAUGUAUUACAAGUCAAAGUAAUUACAAUAGUUCAUAUAGUAGUUCAAUUCUUACUUUAAUGACAUAUUUGUCUAUGUAUAAUACUGAUUAUUGAGUUGAUUGCUUUACAGGAUCAGCAGUGCAGAUGUCCAGGUCACACAGGGCAUUAGCCAAAAUACUUCAUCUAGUGUUGUGUCGUUGGUCGAUGACAUGCUUCAAUCUCGCAGAAUGACUAUUGAAGACUUAAUCGAAGCAUCAGAUGUAUGAGAACUUAAUUCCAUGACUACCUGUAGUUAAUCUUUUCAUAUUCAUUAACGUACCAUAAUACACAAUUCACAUAAAUGCCAUGGAAUUGUUCUUGCAACUGUGUGUGACAUCGAAAAAGAGUUUAGCUGGUAUUAUCAGGCGGUACAAAGUGUGCGGUUAGAGUGAAGACUAUUGAUGAUCGACUCUUUUGCCCGAAGUGUAACACUAGGAGGAAUGUUAUGCCUAGGUUUGUUUUUAUGCGACUCUGUUUAAUCAAUUCCAUAUUUUGUCGCAAACAUUGUUUAUUUUUUUCCUUAAUACUGUUGUUGUUAAUUAAUUUGUAGGUUCAAGGUGCACCUGCAAGUAAUGGAUCACACAGGGUCUACAAGUUUUAUCGUGUUUGACCGCAAUGUGCAGACUUAUGUUGGGAGAGGUGUUCAGGAUUGAGUUGAUGCACAAAUAUUUAUAAGAUUCAGUACUUUUUAUUUUUUUUGAUUAAAAAUAUAUGAUAAGCUUUGUAAAAAUCGUGUAAGUUUGGAGAUUGAAAAUAUAUGAUAAGCUUUCUAAACACCGCAAUUUAGGAGAUGCACUUUAUUAAAGUGAUUGAUCACGGUUAGAUAACCGCUAUUUAGAUCGACGUGUUACUAAAUAGCAGUGAUAAUAAUAAGCACAAUGAACAAUAAACUUCUUAUAAAUUGUGGUGCGGCUGUGCGAUCGUUAUCUGAUACUAUAUGUGUAACAUUAUUCAUGUGUAUAUGCAGAAUAACAAUGCAGCUGAUUUUCCUUCUGAGCUUGAUAUUUUCUAUGGGAAACAUAUGCUAUUCAAAGUUGAGGUAGCUGAUGGAAAUCUUAUACAUAAUUGGCGCAGCUACGAUGUUAAACGAAUCAGUGAUGAUGGGGAUAUGACAAAAAGGUUUAUGGUUCCACAUAAUAUCAAGGUGCUAUGUUCAUAUACAAUAUCCAUAUUGUAAUCAACCUAUUAUACGAUGACUGUUUAUGAUAGUUACCUUAGUUCUGUCUAAAGUUUUGUCCUAUAGCAAAAUUUGCAUAAAAAACUUGAUUUCUAUAAUGUUUUUUUACAGUAGUUUUAAAUCACGGUAAUUUUAAAACUAAAUUUUUUAUGAGUUUCCUUUACGGAUGUUUCAAUCUGCUUAUGGUAGGCUUAUUUUGUUUAUUGUAUCACGAAGGUUGAGGGCGUUGAUUCAUCCAAGCCUGCCGUUAAUCAAAAGGCAACUGAUGUCAUAUCCAGGUGAAUGAUUAUGAGAAAGAGGAUGAACAGACACCCUUGAAGCAAAGUUGCGGGGAAAAGAUCGGCUGAAAAAGGUGUUUCAGAGCUGAUGGCUUAUGAGUUGGAUGGCGAUGAAUCUGCCACAAAAUCAGUCAAACUGAAAAGUGUGAAGCUUGAGCCCAAAUAUUAAGAAUAGUGUCAUGUUGCAGUCCGUUUCAUCAAUUAUUUUAAAAAUUGUUUGAAUGUUAUGGUUUAUUUCUUCCGUAUUGUUUUUGUUUCUUGAAGUACUAUUGGUUCGUGUUACUUUAAGUACCGUUUAUGGUGUAUGACAUUUCUUAUCCGUCUUUGUUUAAUUCUAAAGUUAUCCUUUUUUGAUCUAUUCAAUACCUUUGUUAGCACUCUUUUACAAUUAUGAGCAACCAUACCGUAGAAAUUGCAUGUAUAUUCAAUUUUAUGACAGGGUCUGUUUAGAAGUACAUUACUAACCUAUUAGAGGAUCUGUGCCCCCAGGGGUAUAUAUAUAUUUGCAGUUGUAUUGUACAUCAACAUUGAUAAUGCCACUGCAUGUUUAUUAUGUACAACUAUGAUCCUCAUUCCCAGUAAGGUUUUAGUAGUGAAUUGUAAACUGAACAGAAAAUUGGAAUUUCUGUCGCGUCUAAUGUUGGUGGUUUAUGGAACUGUUAUUUUGUUUGUAUAAGUAGCAAAAAGUAUAUGAUAAGUGAUAUAAAUAGUGUCAUUUUAGAAGUAUUAGGCAGUGAAAUAUGUUUUUUUCCCUGCAAUUUGCUGCCCUAUUUUAAUUCAGUUGCAUAUUUGUUAAGAAAUAUCCUCAUUCACCAAGAUUAGGCAUAUGUGACUAAUGUGAUUCAAUAAAAAACCAGAUCCAAUAAAUUGGUUGUUAAUCUAAAACGAAUGCCGUUUUUCUCUAAUUGUCUAUAUAUAUAUAUACUUAUAUUAAAAGAAAUGUCCCUUGAAUUUACCAUUUUGCCCCUAUAAGGGGCAAUUUGGUAAUCUACUUAUUGGUUAAGUUUUUUUUUUUAACCAUGGCCUAUGAAUUUCCAUUUUUGCCCCUAACCAAUUUUUUUUAAUUACUUUCUAAUUUUUAUAUUUUUAAUAACUUUUAAUUAUUUUCCAAUUUUUAUAUUUUUAACUAUUUUUCAAUUUUUUCUCCCAAAUUCAGUUGCUUCUACAUUCUUUCGAAGAAUUUUNNNNNNNNNNNNNNNNNNNNNNNNNNNNNNNNNNNNNNNNNNNNNNNNNNNNNNNNNNNNNNNNNNNNNNNNNNNNNNNNNNNNNNNNNNNNNNNNNNNNNNNNNNNNNNNNNNNNNNNNNNNNNNNNNNNNNNNNNNNNNNNNNNNNNNNNNNNNNNNNNNNNNNNNNNNNNNNNNNNNNNNNNNNNNNNNNNNNNNNNNNNNNNNNNNNNNNNNNNNNNNNNNNNNNNNNNNNNNNNNNNNNNNNNNNNNNNNNNNNNNNNNNNNNNNNNNNNNNNNNNNNNNNNNNNNNNNNNNNNNNNNNNNNNNNNNNNNNNNNNNNNNNNNNNNNNNNNNNNNNNNNNNNNNNNNNNNNNNNNNNNNNNNNNNNNNNNNNNNNNNNNNNNNNNNNNNNNNNNNNNNNNNNNNNNNNNNNNNNNNNNNNNNNNNNNNNNNNNNNNNNNNNNNNNNNNNNNNNNNNNNNNNNNNNNNNNNNNNNNNNNNNNNNNNNNNNNNNNNNNNNNNNNNNNNNNNNNNNNNNNNNNNNNNNNNNNNNNNNNNNNNNNNNNNNNNNNNNNNNNNNNNNNNNNNNNNNNNNNNNNNNNNNNNNNNNNNNNNNNNNNNNNNNNNNNNNNNNNNNNNNNNNNNNNNNNNNNNNNNNNNNNNNNNNNNNNNNNNNNNNNNNNNNNAAAAAAACAGCAUAUAAUUGGGAACAUACUUUUAUUUUACUUUAGAUAAACAUUAAAUGCAAAAGUGUGGAGGGAAAAAUUAGGUUAAAAUUAGAGAUGACUUUUUGCAUAAAUUAAAUCUAGGGUUAAUAUAGUAAAGUCACACGAAAAAAUUAGGUUAAAUCUAGGGUUAAUAUUGCGUCACGGGUUAACGUUUAUAAAUGAGCUGACAUUUUGCAUAAAUUAAAUCUAGGGUUAAUAUAAUUUGUUUAAUAAAAUUAAGGAGAAAAAUUAGGAGCGAUUUGUUAUUUUGAUUUCCCUAACAAUUAACGUUAACAUUUUGAUUAAAUUAAAUAGGGGUAAUACAGUAAAAUUAAGCAAAGAAGUUAGGUUAAAUCUAGCGUAAAAUUUUGUGUUCGGGUUAACUUUAACGAAUAAGAGACUGCAAUAAUUGUUAUGUUAUUUUUUAUGUAGUGCUUUAGACUCUGUGUUGCAAAUUUUUUGUUUACGCAACUUUGAUUUUCACAUUUAUAAAGGGUAACAAUUUUCCGUAAUUUAUAAGAUUUCUCCUUCAUAACUAAAUUUUAAAAAAAUACGUUAUUCAACCUGUGCAAAGCACGGGUUUAUAACUAGUUAAUUUAAAAAAAAAAACCUUCUCUGUUUAGUGCUUCCACUAUCCUGCGAAGACCAUUGGUUUAACGAAAUUGGCAACCUAUAGCUGCUUAGAUAUUGUUAAUCCUUCUCCCAUAUGCUAAAUUAUAAUGAAUAUACAAACUUCCGGAUUUUUAUUUCUGAACAAACUAUUAUUAUGCACAUAUUUAAUUUCGAAGAUAUCAAGUUAAUAUGUACAAAUUUAACUUCCAAUUGUAUGCAAUAUUUCACACCAUUCUAUGUUUUAUAUUAAGUGCUUGAUAUAUCAUCCAUGCAUAAAAUUGUGGUUAUGUUUAGAAGGAGAUUUUCUGCAAUCUACCGAUUUAAGGUCUUUUUUUAUUGUAUUUUUUUUUAUAAACAAUUUAUUUUGUACCGCAAGCAUAUUUUAAUUUGGGUUAAUUAAGUAUUUAGUCCCUAUAAAUAUUCACAGUUUUGUUUUUAAUCCCUACAAAAUAAAAUCACACCUUUUAGUCCUUAUAGAAUUUUCCAUCGGCAUUUUUAGUCCCUAUAAAUUUUUCCAUCAGCCCUUUUAGUCCCUGUCAAAAAUUUUCAUCAAUAGUUUUGGUCCCUAAAAUGCUUAAGGAAAAUGUCACAGAGACUAAAAAGUGUGAUUUUAUUUUGUAGGGACUAAAAACAAAACUAUGAAUAUUUAUAGGGACUAAAAACUUAUUUAACCCUUUUAAUUUCAAUAUAUUUGCAUGUUUUGUUUCCAAUCGAUAUGACCCGUGCGGCAGCACGGGUGGAUGGUCUAGUUAGGAAUAUCACGAAUGGACAUCCACCAACAUUAUUAUUCAUAACAUAUAUAAGCAUUUUUGGAUGUGUUGUCAAUGUUUCAAUUGCUCCAAUAUAAUGCACUUAGAUGGGUCGUAAAAGAAUAUUGGAAAACUAUAAUUGGUAUGAAUCUCCAUCUAGUCUAGUAUAAAAUAUUUUGAAUAAAUGAUUGGAGUUCAAUUUCAAGCCAAGUAGGCUGAUUAUGAUUUAAUAAAUUAGUUUUUUCAAUAUUAGGGGAAAAAAUAAGCAGCUGAAUAUAUGGACCAGAAGUUCAAAUGAAUCAUUUAAAAUAAUUAUUAUUAAUAAAAUACGAAUAUGAUUAUAUGAACCAUAAGUUCAAAUGUAUCAUUUAAAAUAAAUUAUUAUUCUUUCUUCUUGAUCCUCAUAUAAAUCAGCAGGAACCACAAGUUCAAGAUAUGGUUUCAUUUGCAAAGUUAAACAAACAAAAUAUCAGUUGCUAAUACUGCAAUAAAAAUAAAAGAUGUCUCAUUUGGACAAUAUAAUAUUACAAAUGAAUCUAAAUUGCAUCCGAACGGAUUAGAUACUUGGAAUUUAUGCUAUGCAAAUAAAGAGAUCUCGAUAAAUUAUGUCAUGGAUGAAAUGCGAUGGAACCAGAAAAACAAAGAGUCAACGUUGAUGAUGUUUUUAAAUAAAAUAUAGCGCUAUAUGUGAAAAAUGAUAAUGAGAAUCAUGAAUCAAAGUCUAUUACGGAUUAUAGAAAAAAGACAAUAUAAUGACUGACUUAAUGAAAAGAUGGCAUUUUAUGCAAAAUUAAACUAGCUUUGCAAAGCGAAUGGUUUUUGGACCAGUAGUCCAUGAAUAUGUGAAAAUAAAAUUAUAAUUUUGAAUUAUUUAUAAAGUUGGGCACAUUGUUCAAGAGUAUUGGUGAAAUCCUACUAUUAAUUUUGAAGAGACAUAUUCACCGGAAGUGAAUUCAAAUACAAUAUGAUACUUGAUUAAGUGUAGCACCAUUUGAAAGCUUCAAUGUAUAUAUGAGGUACAUCUUACAAUAUAUUUAUAUGACUAACUUGAUAUUUUUAUGUAAAAUUCUUCGAGUGAAUAUUUUGAAAAGAGAGAUAUAAAAAUAUAUGAUUUGUCCAUUUGAAAAUAAAUCUGAGAACUACUGAAGAAUUUUUGAAAUUUGAAUUCUUAAAGAAAAGAAAUCAAGAUGAAAUAUGUAGGAAUGGUAAAUAUUUAUUUGAGAUUGUUAGGUUUGUAUUUUGUGAUUGACCGCAUUUUGUUAAAACAAGUGUUCUAGCAAGAUGUUGAAUAAGAUGUUUUGACAUGUUGGUACGACAUCGUAGCGUGCCUUGUUUCACUUUCUUGAAAGAUUUGUUUUAAGCGUGAGAUCUCUGAAGAUUCUAUGAAGAUAUGAUACACGUAGAGUGUUGACCAAGAAGCGUGUGUUUUCUGGAAGCAGCAAAAGGCGGCUUAAGAUUUGUCGUGUUUCCUUAUAAUGGAUUUCAAAAAAUUUAAGGAAACAAUAUACAUGCUUCCAGAAUAUUGUGUUGAAGACCAUAUUGGAUAAGUUGUGUGUUUAGCUCGAAUUGUUCAUCAAGCCCAUGCUAUUCUCAGACUAUAUAAAGGAAGACUUUAAACCUAAGAAUACUACUGAAGCCGCAUUUGUGAAAGUGUCAAUUAGGGUUUUAGUCUGUCCAUUGUUGUUUGUGAGCUACUCUUGUAUCACGUUGAUGCUAGAGUUGGACUGAUAGUUGAGUUGUAAUUGUGAAUCACUUGUCAGCUUUUACGCAAGAGUGGAUUUUGUUUAUUGGAGUGUGUCUCCAUCUUGACUGUAUUUGUUAUCACUGGUGAUUGAUUGAUAGGAAGUGGGAGGGGUCCCAUAUCUAUGUGUGGCUUAGAUAGAAAUACCACGGGUAGUGAUUAGAAGAGAAGGAAAGUAAACCGGAGGUUGUUUACGUAUGACUUCAAACUAAUACUAUUAUAGUGGACUUCCUUCCAGGCUUUGAUGCCCCCAUAUGUAUGUGACGUUGCCACGAACUUGAUUAGAAUAACUUGUGUCAUUUACUUACUGUAAUUUAUUUUAAGUUUGUUAAUUAUUAUUUAUGUUGUCACGAAAGGGUGGAAAAAUACCCAAGCCCGCGGGUGCCCGUUGAUAAAAUCUGUCAUGGACACGGGGUAGGUAGCUAAACAGAUAUCCACGGGUAUAAUAAACGAGUAUUUGACUACCCAUUAUUAUAUGGAUACGGACACGGAUUUGAUUGUACCCAUACCCCACGAAUACCCAUACCCGAUAAUAAAUUAAGUAAAUUAAUAAAAUAUCUUUAUAUAUCUUAUCUUAUCUUAUUACUUAAAGUUGUUAUCUUAUUGAAAGAAAUUUUACCGCCCACCUAAGAUUCCUCAUUAAUAACCUAUUUUUAUUUUUAAUUUUUUUAAUUCAUCUUAUUAAGUUCACCAUUUCCACUUUAUUCACAUCAUAAAACAUAUCCUAUGGAUUAUGUAAGAAUCAUGAAUUUUAUAUGGAUUAUGUAUGAUUUAUGAAAUUUUGAAUGGAUUAUGUAUGGAUGUUUAAAAGUUGAAGUUUUUGGCAAUUAAAAAAAAGUUAUUAUUUGUACCAAAAAAUAAAUUAAUUAAAAAAUUCAUGGUACCCAUGAAUACCCAUGGAUACCUUAAUACCCACGGAUACCCGUAUAGUGGGUACCAGCGAGGGUACAUGGCGGGUGCGUAUAUCAUAUUUAUCCAACAAGGCGGGGACGAGUAUCAUACUAUCCGUAUCUAUGGGUAUCCAUUGACAUCCCCAGUCACAAUGUCUUGACAUUGCAUUCGACAUUCCUGGUGUCUUGACAUCGUGCUCGACAUCUCUUUACUGCGUGCCAUAAUUCUAGAGAUUACAAGUUUAUUAUUUUUCAAAAGCAUGAACUUUAUAUACCUAGGUGAUAAAAUUAUUAUAUAUGGACAAAUGACAUUUGUUGUGCACUAAAAUGGGUGUAAAGUCACUAGAUGUAGACUAAGAUCGUUUGAAAAUUUAAGUAAAUAUUGAAGAACUAAUUGAUUCUGUAGUACCAUAUUUUAAUUCAAUUGAGGGAUAAUAAUUUAUCUUGCUAAUUAUUCAUGUUAUUAUAUAAUAUAUAUUAUUUGUUAUUUUAAAGAUGUAGGUUAUUUGUCUGAUCCUCAACAUUAAUGGGGUUUGAUUGAGGUCUAUGACCGGAACACAUAGAAGAAACUUCCGGUUUGUCUUCAAGAAGAAGAAACACAACAAUCCUUUAUAAAUAUAAUACCAAGAGCAUUGCUUUGUUGAAAGGAUGGUAUAUUAAGGUCGAUAGAACAUAAACAUUUUUUAUUUUUAUUUCUUUUUCUCAACAAAUUUGUUUGUGUGAUAAUCUUAAAUGUAUUUUACAAAGUAACUCCCAAGUAAAAUGUUUGAGCAGCUUUUUUUUUUUGUGGUGUCCGGAAUUUGAACUCCGGAUCUUACAUAUAUUAUGCAUUGUUCUUAUCAACUAAGUUAAGUUCACGGGGACAAAUGUUUGAGCACCUGGUACAAAAGAUCGGUGUUCAUCGUAUCAGAGAUGAUUGUUUGGUUGAGAGGGAGAAAUAAAUAUAUUUUCACUUUUUUUUCCUUCAUUAUGGUUUUGUCAUACUGAAUUUUCCUGGUAAGGUUUUUAAUGAUGCAAAUAUAUCGGAUAUUUUACUUUUUUUUCCUUCACUAAGAUUUCUCCCAUUGAGUUUUUUCUUAGUAAAGUUUUAAUUAGACAUAUCAUUAAUGGACAUCCAAGGGGAGUGUUACGAAUAAUAAUAAUAAUAAUAAUAAUAAUAAUAAUAUGAUGUAGAUGUCCAUUUUCCUAAAGCUUUCUAUGUUUCUUAACUCCUAUGAAUGAAUGUCUCUAUUCAUUGUUAUUGCCACUUAGUCUUCCGACUCUUCAUAUACUUUUUUUUUUUUUUAGGGAAAACUCUUCAUAUACUUUUCUUAACACAUUUGUGUUUUAUAAAUAAAAUUUAUUUCAAUGUAAAAAACACACUUAUAAAAAGAAUACAUAAAGCUGUCAUCUUAUUCAUCUUUGAUCUUAUCUUUUUAGUUUAUUUAAUAUUGAACUAAGAACCGGUGGACAACUUCACUCUUUUUUAAAUCACAAAAUCAUCAUCGUGUAAAACGCGGAUCAUAAAGAAAAGAAAAGAAAAUCAUAAACUAUUACUGCAUGUUACUAGCUGUCUCUAUAUUAGUGAUUCGAAGAUAGGGACCUAAUGUGAGAGAAAAUUUCGAUAGGUGCAUUAUUAUUUUUUUUUUUUUUUUGAGUUUAAAAUUAAAAUAUGCUUUUUUUAUUUUUAUUUAAUUCUAUGACUAAAAGAACAUUAAAAACGAGAAAAAUAUUUUAAAAAGGGGGCUGCCAUGUACACUAUUGGAAUGGUAAAAAAGAUAAAGUAGUUGUUGGUAUGAAAAAUUCUAUGGUUUAUAUAUUUAAAAACCGAGUCCUGUAGUUUAUUUUCUUCCUAAAUCAGACAAUUUUAUAAUUGUUUUGAGUCUUUUAUUCAUAAAUCAUGUAAUUCGAUAAACAAGAAACCUCAUGGAAAAUUUUGAAGUCUCCACAUGAAUUUUUGUUCAACUUAUUAUUAAUCAACGGUAAAAGAGAAAAAGUGGUUGUAGGUAUGGAAAAUUUUGAAGUCUCCACAUGAAUUUUCGUUCAACUUAGUAGUCCAUUCGUUUCAAAAUAUAAGCAAAUUUUACUUUUUAGGUUCAUUCAAUUAAUGAUGUAUAUGGUUUAUAAUAUGGACCACAUACAUCAUUAAUUGAAUGAACUUAAAAAGUAAAAUUUGCUUAUAUUUUGAAACGGAUGUAGUAAUUCACUGUAAAAGAGAUAAAGUGGUUGUAGGUAUGAAAUUUUUUGAAGUCUCCACAUGAAUUUUCGUUCAACUUAGUAAUUAACCGUAAAAGAGAUCAAGUGGUUGUAGGUUUUUUAACUGUCAUGCACAAUGCGAGAUUAGGUUCCUUUGAUUCAGACCUUAACGACGAUUAGGGUAUCCGUAAAUCUCAUGUGCCUUCUUUGUUGGAAUUAAUACAGUUAAUUAUUAGUUUAUGAUCUGUCUUUGAUCAAGAAAGUAGGAUAUGACUCCAUGACAUAAUCGUUGGAAGUUUUAAUUUUAGAAAGGAAAAAAACGUGUUGCAAAAAGUCUACUUGGUAGGCUGGAUGCUAAAUUAUUCAAUAUUUACCAGUAGUUUUUAUUUACAAUUAGAAUAAAGUUUAUUUUAUACAAUAAAAUAAAUGUACAUAACCUUAUCAGAGACCUUAUAAAAGGAUUGCUCAAUCGAUCUAAAGUAAUCAAACUAACUAAACACAAAGCACAAUAUGGAUACAAAAAGGCAAACAUUGAUCCUUUUAUUAGUCUUAACAAUAUAUAUAUUUCCCUUCACUAUCAAAGCAUCAUCAAGUGGUGGCAUUGCCGUCUACUGGGGCCAAAACCUAGGAGAUGGCAACUUGACAUCAACAUGUGACACAGGUAAUUACGAGAUUGUACUCUUAGCUUUCCUCAAUGUCUUUGGAGGAGGAAGAGUCCCAAAUUGGAACUUUGCAGGCCAUUGUGGUGACUGGAGCCCUUGUACAAAACUCGAACCCGAAAUAAAACACUGUCAACAAAAAGGGAUCAAAGUUUUACUUUCGAUCGGAGGUGCAUCUGGAUCCUACUCCCUUAGCUCACCAGACGAUGCUAAAAAUGUUGCUGAUUACCUCUAUACUAACUUUCUUAGUGGUCAAUUUGGUCCACUUGGAAGUGUUACCUUAGAUGGUAUUGAUUUUGACAUUGAAGGAGGUAGCGAUCUUUACUGGGAUGACCUUGCUAGGAAUCUUGACAAUCUAAGACAACAAAACAGGUAAUGUUUUUUGAAUGAGAAGUUUUAGCAUGUUAAUACUAGUAGUUUGUCCGUCUCAUAUUAUGUAUUUUUAAGAUUAUGUCCAUUUCUUAAGAGCAUCAUUGAGUGUACAAAAUUUUAAGAUAAAAAUGAGUUUAAUUUCACAAAAAUAUUUUUAUUAAUGGUGGUUAGUAGUGGUUUGAAAUAAGGGGUAAAUAUGGCAACAAAGCCCAUAUAUGUGGGUACCCGUCUGUACCAAACUUAAAUUGACGGAUUUUCCCUGCUUUGAUUGGGUUUGAGUUUUCUUCGAUUUCAAAACACGAGUAUGAGACCGGUAAUGGACAUAUAAGUACCCACCCUUAACCCAUACCCAAACCCGUCUCGAAUGUAAAAAAAUCAAUUUAUUAUCCUUUUUAUAUAAAUAGAAACUCCAAACCUAAAUCAUUUCACUCACACUCUCAAUCUUUCAGACGACACUCACUUCUAUAAGUUCUUUCUCGUCUCCUUCCACAUUUCACACCCUGGGUCUCUCUCUUCCCCAUAACCUAGUCAUCGAUCAUCAUCAUUUCUUUGCUGAAUAAUGCAAUACAACAUUGAGCCUGAGGCUGAAAAAUACUUCUUUUUAUUAAAAAAUUUAUCCACUGCGGGGAUGAAGAUGGUACGGAGAUACACAAAUCGGUCGGGGAUGAGGAUGAGAUUCAAUUUCUCAUCCCUAUUGAGUAUGCGUAGGGUAACAGGUAAGUAUUUGAGACUAUGGUAUGAGAACGGGGAAGUUAAAAUUCUUCCCCACCUCGCCCCAUUGUCAUGCCUAAUAAGGGGUGCCAACUUAGUUUGGAUGUCUGGUAGUUUCUUUGAUGUUUUUAUGCUCUUAAUUUAGGAAACAAAUAGUGGUUUGAGAUAAAAUAAAGGCAAAAUUACACAAUUAGUCCCUUAACUUUAUUUUAGGUAACAUUUUCGUCCUUUAUCUUUUUUUUGUCACGAUUUAGUCCUUUAUGUUAUAAAAUGACAAUAUCUUAUCAUUUUUUAUGAGAUUUUUUUCAAAGAAAUUUGAUUUUCUAGACUUGUAUGAUGAAGAUUUACGUUUGCCUAAGAGUUUGAUGAUUUUUUUUUGGAGUUUUUGAUUAUUUUUUUCAUAAAAAAGGAUAACUAUGUUGUUAUUUUAUAACAUAUAGGACUAAAUCGUGACAAAAAAAAGAUAAAGGACGAAAGUGUUACCUAAAAUAAAGUUAAGGGACUAAUUGUAUAAUUUUGCCUAAAAUAAAUACAUAUGAUGAUUUGAUUUUUGAUAUGAUACGAUACGGAAAAUGUUAGAAAGUGCUCUUAUUAAGAAGUUUAAAGCGAAAAUUUUAUCUUGGUAAUUAUGUAUUUUGCACGUUGAUGGGAUAUAAAGCAACUUUUUAUAUAUAUAAAACUUAUCAAUUGUUUCCUUUUUUGUAUCAUUAAAAAGUGCCCUAAAAGCACUUCUUAGCUUGACUCGUAUAAUAUUUAUCAUAAAAGAAAAUAGCUUUCCAUUCAAUAUAUUUUUGAAUCCUUUUUUGCCUACACCCUAACUAAAAUCAACCUUUUAUCUCUUGCAGGUACUUUUACUUGGCAUCUGCACCCCAAUGUUUUAUGCCAGAUCACUACCUUGACAAAGCUAUCAAAACUGGCUUGUUUGAUUAUAUACUUGUUCAAUUCUACAAUAAUCCUCCAUGUCAAUAUGAUAUAAUAAACUCAGAUGCUACAUUGCUCUUACAAUCAUGGAAUGAUUGGACAUCUUUAGCUUUACCAAAUAAUACCGUUUUCAUGGGACUACCAGCAGCACCUGAUGCAGCUCCUUAUGGUGGUUAUAUACCACCAGAUGAUCUCAUUUCUAAGGUUCUUCCUUUCAUUAAACCAACUUCGAACUAUGGAGGAAUUAUGCUUUGGGAUAGAUUUCAUGAUGUUGGAAAUGAUUACAGCAAUCAGAUAAAGGAGUAUGUUAAACGAUCUGUUCUUCGAUUUGUGACACAAGUUUCUGAGGCAAUAGUUGGAUCUAUCUCGGCAGCUUUGAACUCCAUGUUUCCGAAUUAAAUCAUAUUAUAAAUUGAUAGUAAUCGCGUAGCUCACUAUAUAUAUAUAUAUGUAUGUGUAUGCAAUAAGACAAAACUCAGAUCCUCUACGACCAACUUUACGAUGGUUAUAGAUCGUUAGAUUAAGAAAAAAAAGUGAUCAGGAUCACUUAUUAUGCUUUGUACCUUUAUGCAUAAUAUGUACCUAGUUACACUUUGAUUCCCUCGGUUUUCAUGUAACCGGUGGGAAUCAAAACAUCUUAUGUAUGUACUGGAAGUCACUUUGAAAUUUGAAUAACAUUGUGCGUUUUCAACUUAAAUUCUAACCAGUCUAUGUAAUUCACAAAAGUGUAUAAGAACAACUAUAUUUUUGUAAGUUUUUUCGUAAAACAUUUUCUUAACAAAAUAUGUAAUAUAAUGUGAACUCGAGUAUAAAGUUUUUUAAUCUGAUGAAGCGUCACUACGUGGUUAUACUUAAUGGCAGUUUGAUUUUUAGGGCAACAAAGGAAACAAGGCAGUUGGUUGAAGGUAGUGAAAGGGAGUAGUAUGGACUUCUGUAAGCUUAUGUACAUUAGUUAAUUAGAAGCAACCAGGUUUUUUGUGAAGAUGAAUACCAUACAAAUUCCAUAGUCACCACCAAAAUUCAAAAGAUUCUAUGUUUGUCCUGAUGCAUGUAGAAAAGAUUUUAUGGCGGAAUGUAGCUAGGUCAUUGAUUGAUUUAGAUGGAUGCUUUCUCAAAGGAUGUUUUGGAGGGAAACAAUUGUCUGUUGUGGGACAAGAUGAAAAUAAUUGCAAUUUUGUCACUGCUUAUGCCAUUGUGGAUGUAGAAAAUGGGGAUAAUUGGAAGUGGUUUUUGAUACUAUUGCAUGAGGAGCUUGGAGACAACGUGCAGAACGGAAUUAAUUUUAUUUCAGACAUGCAAAAGGUAAUAAAAUACUGCAUGGAUUAUAUUCUAUUUUGACAACUUUCUAUUCUGUUAUUAUAUUCUGCAUGUAUGUUAUAAUUGCUCGUUUUAGGAUCAACUUGUUGGGAAAGUGACUCAAAAUUGGAGAAAUUGAGUUUGCUGAAGCUGUCAAAAUCGGAGCCCGAUUUGGAGAAAUGGAGAAAUCGGAGCACGAUUUUAUGUUGCAGAAUUGGCACUUUCAUUCGUAAAAAAUCGGAGCACGAUUUUGCGCAGAGUCAGAAAAAUAAAACGUAUUUUUGGGCCUGAUUUUGUUCCAAUUUAUGAGGGAUUCUUUUACUAUAAAUAUAGGCUUUGUAUCAGUAAUCCUUGAGAUAGAGGGGGCUCAAACGAGGGUUUAGAAAGACAACAACAAAACUAGGGUUUGUAUAGAGUUUGUCUCUUUGGCAACAAACACUUGGGUUUGAGGGUUGAUUCACUUUGGGAAACACUAUUAGGAUUGAGUCUCUUGGUUACGGGAAGAGAUUGAGGCUUUGGGUAGAAGGCGGGAGACUUAUUCUUGUAACCAUUGAUAUCUCUUUUGUAACGUUACUCAUCAUAUAGUGAAACGGAUGACUGCUCUCUCCCCCAUACUAGGUCAAUUUGGACUGAACUGGGUCAACAAAUUCUUUUGUGUUCUCUCUUCUUUUCUCUCGCUGUUUUCUACUUUUUGUUUGCGUUUAUAAUUGUUUCAUACACUGCGAUUUUGGUUGCUUGAUUAUCACUUGCUCCACACAUCAAGUUGUGAAAGUGACUCAAAAUUGGAGAAAUUGAAGUUUGCUGAAACUGUCAAAAUCGAAGCCCGAUUUGGAAAAAUCGGAACACGAUUUUUUGGAGAAGAAUUGACACUUUCAUUCGUAAAAAAUCUGAGCACGGUCUGGAAAAAUCGGAGCACGAUUUCGCGCAGAAGAAUAAAAAUAAAACGUAUUUAUAUGGGCCUGAUUUGGUUCCAAUUUAUGAGGGAUGCUUUUACUAUAAAUAUAAACAUUGUAUCAGUGUAAACCUUGAGAUAGAGGGGGCUGAAACAAGGGUUUAGAAAGAUAACAACAAAACUAGAGUUCGUAUAGAGUUUGCCUCUUUGGAAGAAACACUAGGGUUUGAGGGUUGAUUCACCUUGAGAAACACUAUUAAGAUUGAGUCUCUUGGUUACGGUAAGAGAUUGAGACUUUGGGUAGAAUUAGGCGGGAGACUUAUUUUUGUAACCCAUUGAUAUCUCUUUUGUAAGGUUACUCAUCAUUAUAGUGAAACGGGGGCUGCUCUCUCCCACAUACUAGGUCAAUUUGGACAAGACUGGGUCAACAAAUUCUUUUGUGUUCUCUCUUCCUUUCUCUCCCGUUGUUUUCUACUUUUGGCUUGUGUUUAAAAUUGUUCCAUACACUUUGUUUUGGUUGCUUGACUAUCCCUUGCUCCACACAUCAAGUUUGUUAUUGGUGUGAUUUUUUCAUCGAAUUCACAACAGGAUGCUUGAUUUAUGCAUCAACCCUACCUGUUAACAGACAUAAAUUUGAUUAUAGAGCUAAGAAAUGUGCUUUCUUAUGUUAGAAGUCUGGCAUUAAAGGUUUUGUUCUUGUUGAUGUCCAUACUUCUGAAGUCUUAGUUUCCAAAUUUGUGAAAUUUUUUUAACUGGAAUUUCCAUUUCAUUCUUCUAGUAUAACUUCAGUUCCCAAUACACAGAUUUAUCUUUGAUAGUCAAGUCAUUUAACCAAUGCCUGUUAGUUCUUCUCCUCCUAAUGUUGUGAGUUCUAAUGAAGACAAUGUUGAAGUUUUAAAUGAAGAUAAUAUUAGUGAUAAUGAAGAGAGGGAUAUUGAUAUUGUGCAUGUAUCUACCAGAAAGUCUUUUAGGGUUUCUCAGGCACCUUCUCACUUGCAAGACUAUAUCUGCAUCUCCAUAGGUGGUAACUAUCCUAUGCGUAAAUUCCUUAGUUAUUCAACUCUAUUUCCUAAACACCAGCUUAUGCAUACUAUUUGAACACUGAACUUGAGCCCACUAGUUUUUAUUCUGCUAGUAAAGACUCUAGAUGGAUAACUGCUAUGCAGACAGAGAUAGAAGCACUCAAUGCUAACAAUACUUGAGAAUUUGUUGAUCUUCCUUCAGAUGCAACAUCUAUAGGCAGUAAUGAGUGUAUAAAAUAAAAAGACAUGCAGAUGGCACUAUAGAACGUUUCAAAGCACCGUUGGUUGCACAAGGUUUUAACCAAGUCAAUGCACACGUGGACGCCACGUAUGUAAUUUUUUUUAAUUAAAAAAUUAAAAUAAAAAUUUAUAUUUUUUAAUUUAAAAAUAUAUAUUAAAAAAUAAAAAAAUAAAAAAUACAUACACACGUGGCGUCCACAUGUGCAUUGACUUGGUCAAAAUUGCCCUGGGGGGCCAAAACUGUAAAAAAAGUCAAUACUUUGGGGGCAAUUUUGUAGUUUAUUUAGUUAGGAGGCCAAAAUCGCAACUUCUUAAAACAUAGGGGGCCAAAACUACUAUUAAGCUUUUUAUAAUCCAUCUAACAAUAGUGUUUUUUUUUUUUUGGGUAAAUACCUCUUUUCGUCCCUGUAAUAUUAGCGAAUUCCGAUUUUAGUCCCUAUAAAAAAAAGAUUUAGAUUUUGUCUCUGUAAUUUAAGAUUCUUCCACUUUUGAUCCCUCAUUCCACCACGUCAGCAGAAUCUGCAUACAUGGUACCUAAAAUGAGGGAUCAAAAGUGGAGGAAUCUGAAAUUAAAGGAACCAAAAGUGGGAGGAAUCUGAAAUUACAAGGACGUAAUUGAUGCAGAUUUUGCUGACGUGAUGAAAAGAGGGACCAAAAGUGGAAGAAUCUGAAAUUACAGGGACAAAAUCUAAAGCAUUUUAUUUACAGUGACUAAAACCGAAAUUCGCUAAUAUUACAGGGACGAAAAGAGGUAUUUACCCUUUUUUUUUUUUUGGCUUAAUUGCACUUUUCCCCCCUAUAGUUUGCCAAUUGUGCGAUUUUGCACCCCAUAGUUUUAACGAGCGAUUUUGCCCCCUAUAGAUUUCCCCCUUUAUGAUUUUAUGGUCCCCAUGAUAUUUAGUGCUGGUUUUUUUAUCAAUUAAUGUGUGUCACGUGUGUAAUUCUAUUUUUUAAAAAAUAAAAAAAUGGUAUUUUUCAGAUUUUGAGAGAAGGAGGCACGUGAUUUUUCAGAUUUUAUCACGUGUCUCCUUCUCUCAAAAUCUGAAAAAUACCAUUUUUUUUAUUUUUUAAAAAAUGGAAUUACACACGUGGCACACAUUAAUUGAUAAAAACAGACAUAUCAGCACUAAAUGUCAUGGGACCAUAAAAUCAGAAAGGGGGAAAACUAUAGGGGGCAAAAUCGCUCGUUUAAAACUAUGGGGUGUAAAAUCGCACAAUUGGCAAACUAUAAAAGAAAAAAGUGCAAUUAAGCCUUUUUUUUUUUACCGUAUGAAAGUAAUGAAAAAUAGCUUGUUUGCCCUAAACUAAAAUCAGCAGCACCUAUACUAAGUUCACUAUAUUAUACUCUUUCUUUUUUCUUGACAACACCAUGUUUUAUUAAAACAGCCCUGUGCCAGAAAUAACUAAAGGGCAAUAUAUCAACAGAGAACAAAAGCCAAAGGCCAACAUUAGUAGGAAAACCUCAUCCUAUGUUAUACCUACAGAUACAAUAGUGAAAUCAGAGCUUACAAAAUCAGAUAUCACUUAGAUAAACUAGCUACUAUAAGUCUUAAAUAUCUCUCAUUCGCUGUAAUUACUAUACAUAUAAGUUUAGUCAGCUUAAUAUAUAUUAAUAAAUUACAUUCCUAAAUUUCAUUAUCUCUAAAAUCAAUAUCUUUUUCCUUAAAGCAUACAAACAGCAUAUAAAUACUUAACUGACUUCUAAUUCAAUGUCUAAUUUUGAGUUGUAUGGGAAAGUGUCCUUACCUUAAGUGCUCUCCUUCCUAAUAUAUAGAGAAUUCUACCCAAUUGCCGGAACACGACUUCAAGAAUUAUUCUUCACUCAGGAGAGUACAAAUGGAAGAACAAAAGGGUGACUUUAUUUAGAAUGAAAUUAAAGGAUUGAAGAAAGAAUAGAAGAACAGACAAUGAAAUGACCCUUACCUCAAGACUUGAAUGGCAUGAAGCAUUUAUAUAAUAAAUGGGAGAGUUCAAUUGAGAAAAUGGUGGCUUGUAGUUUCAAUUUUUGGCAGGUAAAUGUUUUCAAUUUUGUGAGAUUAGAAAAUUUGGCUGAGUAUUGUAGGUGAGGUGUAUUUCUGUACUGGAAAUUGGAAAUAUGAAGUGGUGGUAGUUGAGAAGAAAUAGGAACAUGUGACAUAAAAGUUGAGACUUGAGAGGAGUGGGGGGUAGGGUAGGGAAUAGGUCAGAUCGGCCUACAAGGGUCUAUGGUCUGACAUGUUUAAGCCUGAUCUGACCUGUUUAUUAAAAAGGUUAGGCUUAGACUUUUUAAAAAGCCUAUUUAAGUAAAUAGGUCAGGCUUAGGCUAUCAAAAAAGCCUAUGAAACCUAGUAGGCCGGCCUGUUUAUGCAUGUUAGGCUUCAUAGUGGACUUUUUAAAUAGGCUUUAAAGCUUUAUAGUGAAAUAGGCUUUUAAGGUCUUAUAGUAGUGAUAGACAAGUCUUACACUGAAAUAGGUUUUGAGGUCUAUUAAGCCUAUUUAAAAAUAGAUAAAAUGGUAUGUUUAGUAACUUUAAGAGUAAGUAGGCCUGUAAAUAGACUUUCAGGUCAGGCCAGACCAGGCCAAAAAAAUAGGCCUAUGAAAGGCCAUAGACCAAGCUCAGGCCUGCAAUUUUUUUGUAGGCCAGACUCAGGCCUAUCAAAGUCUGACCUGGCCUGGCCUAUUCCCAACCUUAGUGGGGAGUUAUUUGACCAAGCACACAUGCAGAGAAGUUAUAAAAUUUAAAGUCUUGCACACGUCCAACCCUUCCACUAAUUCCUUAAUUAGUUUCCUAUUAUCAUUAUUUUUAUUUACAUCAUUUGUUUGGUCUGGCAUAUGGCAUUCUUUCAUCCCUAAUCUAGCACACUUGCAACUUCCCUUAUGUGUCAUCAUUAUCACAUAGAAUUCUACACAAUUCUCAUUGUAACCGGUUCUCCUAACUAAUGCUAAAUAAUUUAUCUAUUAGUCAUAGUAAUCUAACCAUACCAUAUUGUUCUAAAUAAAAUAAAUGCAUUCAAUAAGUAAAACAACUUACUAAAUCAAAGGCGUCAACACAAAUUAGUAGAAGAUUAUCCUAUUAAAUCAUACCAAAAUUACCAAUCAAUGCAGCUAACGAGAUAAAUAAUUAGAAUAGAUUAAACUAGUUACUCUAAUUUAUUUAAUUAAAAUAAAUAAAUAAUAGAGAGUGUUACAAUACUAACCCUCUAAAAAGAGUUUCGUCACUGAAACUAGUCAUCUAAGAAUAAGGUAGGAUGAAGCUCCCUCAUCUUAUCUUCUCGUUCCCAUGUAGUAUCUCCAGUUGCUUGAUUCCAAAUUACCUUGACUAGACGAAUCUCCUUACCCCGCAAGUACUUCACGCUCCUAUCACCAAUACUCAUUGGAGGAACCUCAAAAGAAAGGUUUUCCUUCAACUGGAUGUCGUCAGGUGCGAUAACAUGAGAACUAUCAGCCAUGUACCUUCUCAGCUGCGACACAUGAAACACAUCAUGAAGACCUGUCAAAUUUGGAGGUAAGGCAAUCUGAUAUGCUAGUGAUCCCACACGUCGAAGAAUCUGAUAUGGCCCAAUAAACUUUGGAGUAAGCUUAUUGGACUUCAAUGCUCUACCCACUCCAGUAGUGGGUGUCACCCUUAGAAACACAUUAUCACCUUCCUGGAAUUCCAAAGGCUUCCUCCGUCGAUUUGCAUAACUCUUCCAUCUUUUAUGGGACGUCUUCAUUUGUUCAUCGAUUAACCUAACCUUUCAGUCGUCUGUUGUACCAACUCAGGUCCUACUAACAUGCUCUCACACCGUCCUUGUACCAACAUAAUGGUGUCUAACAUUUACGCCCAUACAGAGCCUCGUAUGGCGCCAUUCCAAGGCUCGCAUGGUAAUUGUUAUUGUAGGUAAAUUCAAUAAGUGGUAACAAAUUGUCCUAGCUUCCCCGAUCGUCCAAGACACAUGCCCUUAACAUGUCCUCUAAUGUCUGAAUAGUCCUCUCGGUUUGUCCGCCUGUCUGUGGAUGGCAGGCAGAACUUAAUCUCAACUCAGUACCCAAAGCUUUCUGCAACGCUCCCCAAAAGUGAGAAGUAAACUUUGGAUCCCUAUCUAACACAAUGAUAGCCGGUACUCCAUGGAGUCUGACAAUUUCUCCAACAUAAAUCUCAGCAAGCUUAGCCACAUUGUAGUUAGUUCGUAGUGGUAUAAAGUGAGCUGAUCGUCAACUUGUCCACGAUCAUCCAUAUAGAGUCAAACUUCCUCUGAGUUUUUGGUAGGGCAACAACAAAGUCCAUGGAAAUGCUUUCCCACUUCCAUAGAAUAGAUUAAACUAGUUGCUCUAAUUUAUUUAAUUAAAAUAAAUAAAUAAUAGUGUGACAUAUACAUCUAUUAAAGAAUAGGCUAACAAGGAUAGCGCACGAGCUCUUCUUCUCAUCGUAGUCUUCUUGUUAUUACUUGAGUUUAUAUUAGAUUUAGAAGUUGAAUGAAAAUAAUUUCAAUUAUGAUACUCUUAUGUUGUCAUUUUUAGUUACUUUAUAUUAGAAAUCGUGGUUGGGCCUAACACAAUCCCACAAAACCGACUUGUGAGAUGAUGAUUGCCCCCACUUAUAAACAGAUUGUCAGGCUAACUCCUAACCGAUGUGGGACUCUUAACACACCCCUUCACGCUCAGUAUUGCACAUAAUUUGAAGUGUGAACAUAAAUGACGGGUGGCCCGGUAACAGAAACCUAAUAACAGGUGGCCUAAAGAAUCGUGAAGAGACUCUGAUAUCAUAUUAGAAAUCGUGGUUGGGUCUAGCACAACCCCACAAAACCGGCUUGUGAGGUGAGGAUUGCCCUCACUUAUAAACAAAUUGUCAGGUCAACUCCUAACCGAUGUGAGACUCUUAACACUUUAUAAUAUCACAUGCUUGUAAGACUUGGCAUUAAUUUUUAAUAUAAUUGAAGUUUGAUUUCAUUGUUUCAUAAAUUCAUUGUAUUUAUUUUUUUAAUGAAAUUUUGUACAUGGCUGCCCCUUUUUAACCAGCUUCUUUUUAAUCCCUGUGAUUUAGAAACUAGGGCAUUUACAUGACAGGAGGGCAUUGCCAUUAUUAUUUUUUUUAAAAAGUAUUAAAAAAAUAUUCUUAUUUUUAACCAGCUUCUUCUUAAUUCUAAUAACGUGUAGUUCUUUGAUUGGUUGUUCUAACUUCGAAGAGUGAUUAGUGGGAUUUGCACCAAUAGAAAUUUUCUCUCACGUGAGAUCCCUAUCUUUGAGUCACUAAUAUAGAGACAACAUUUUUUGGUAGUGACUAAUAUAGAGACAGCUAUAUUAGUAACAUGCAGUAGUAGUUUAUGAUUUUCUUUUCUUUUUGAAAAACAAAUAGUAAUAAUUUAUGAUCCGCGUUUUACACGAUGAUUUUGUGAUUUAAAAAAGAGUAAGUUGUUCAUUAGUUCUAGUUCAAUAUGUAGAAAUGUUGAAACUGUUAGAUCAUAUAUAUAUUGAUUUUUUUUUUUUUUUUUUUAUCAAGGUUAGAUCAUAUAUUUCUGCUGCAUAAAGAUUAACUUAUACCUACGGCUGUUUUUUGUUAUGAUAUACCUACGGAUUUGUUCCAUCGCUAUAUCCUAUAGUGAUGGAACUUUGGCUCUUGCACAAAACAUUUUGGUUUUAACUAAGGAUUUUGGCCGUAGGUACUGAGCUUAUUGAGAUAUGAUAAAAUGUUUUACCUACUGUGGCUUUAGGUAAAGAACUUAUUAGGAACUGAUAAAAUGUCUUACCUACGGCCUUAUGAAAUCAAUAGUAACCGGUCCAGAUUUGCUUUAUUAUCAUUUUUUUUUCUUCUAAAAAUGAUGUGGACUCUGUCAUUACAAUUGGUGGUGAUGGAAUUCUUUAGAAAAGUUCAGAUCCUACAUAUAUUUGAGUUUUAUAUGCAUGUAGUCUUGGUUUGAUUUUGAUGUAUUGAAUUUGCUAUAUCGACAGCUUAUGUGAUCUUUUGGAUUAUGCCAAUUUUAGUUUCACUUUCCUUUUAAGAUGUAAAGUUUGACCAAAAGUUGUAGUAUAAUUAAAGGGCUAAAUUUCAUUUUCGGUCCCUUAAUUAUUUAGGUAGUAUCGCUUUGGUCCCUUAAUUAAAAUUCGAUUUAUUUUGGUCCCUUAACUUCUCCUUGUUACACAUUUUGGUCUUUUCCGUUAGUUUUAAUUCAAAAACGUUAGGUUUUCUUCAUUUUCUUCUGAGAUUUUUGUUGUUGAAGGUUGAUGGAGAUGAUAUGAAAAUGAAAAAUAAGAGAAGAAGAUGAAGAAAACCUAACGUAUUUUUAAUUAAAACUAACGGAAAUAACUAAAAUGUAUAACAGAGAGAAGUUAAGAGACCAAAAUAAAUCAAAUUUUAAUUAAGGGACCAAACCAAUACUACCUAAAUAGUUAAGGGACCAAAAAUGCAAUUUAGCCUAUAAUUUUUGUCAAGGUAGUAAUCUGGCAUAGGACAAGCUCCUGAUGCAAUAGUGUCAAAAACCACUUCCAAUUAUACCUAUUUUCUACAUCCACAAUGGCAUAAACAAUGACAAAAUUGCAUUAUUUUAAUCUUGUACCACAACAGACAAUGGUUUCCUUCCAAAAUAUCCAUUCAGAAAACAUCCAUCUAAACCAAUCAACGACCUACAUCCCGCCAUAAAACCUUUUCUACAUGCAUUAGGACAAACAUAAAUUUUUUUGAAUUUUGGUGGGGACUAUGGAAUUUGUAUUGUAUUCAUCUUCACGAAAGAAGCUUAUUGCUUCUAAUUAACUUAUGCACAUAAGCUUGCAGAAGUCCAUACUACUCCCUUUUACUACCUUCAAACAACUGCCAUGUUUCCUUUGUUGCCCUAAAAAUCAAACAACCAUCAAGUAUAUGUUGGAACAAAAUGUGUUUCACAAUGAACCUUAUUAAGUUUUGAUUUUAACAUGGGAUUAAAAAUUGUCAAUUGGUUAUUACUAAUAAUUGUUCAAGUGUACAGGACCAAAAGCUACUCAAGUUAUUUCAAUAGGUCUUGGAAGAACAAUGGAAAGAAAAAGAAAUUUUGAGCAUCUGAGGAAAACUGCUCCUGAAGCUGAAGUGCUUCUGAAGUGAUGACGUCAUCAGAAGCAGAAGGUCAUCAGAAGCAAAAGUUUUCAUCAGAAGCAAUAUCUUCACCAGAAGCUACGUUUGAUCCUUUAAUCAAACUAAAGAUUCAAAGUAGCUGAUUCUCAAUUCAGUCUUAUCCAAGAAGAACGAAGAAUUGAAAGGGAGGUAUCAACGGAUAUAUGGAUAGCACUGAGCACUUGUCUCUCGUUAAUAGAGUUGACAAAGUACAAGUGUACAACCACUACCUCCACUACUCUGUUUUCUGUCUACGCUACAAGACAAAACAACAGCCAUGCCUGCAGAAUUUGUACGUUCAAGAUGGGAAUGAAUUUGAAGCUUAUUCUUCAAAGGACUACACCCAAAUCAGGCAAAGGAUCACUGGUGGAUAAUCAAAGGAUUUCAAACGACUCUUUAGACGUGCUGAUUAUCUCAACGUCUCUUUCACGCCUCUAUAUAAAGGAGUGAAGACUUGAAGAUUGGAGACAGAGAUACAUAAGUUCAAAAGCGCCAAAACUCUGUCAAUUUGAUUCUACAAAGCACACUGAAUUUCUGCACUGAUUUGAUACAUCUUAGAAAUUCAAAGUCUAGAGUCUUUACUGUAUUGUAUUGUGAACAUCACUGAUUGUAUAUCAAGUGUUCAACUCAAACUCAAUUCUCUGUAUUUUUGUUUGAUUAGAAGUCUCUUGCCUGCGUGCUUGAGCAUUAGAAGUCUCUUGCUUAGUGCUUGAGCAUUGGAAGACUCUUGCGUGUGUGCUUGAGCAUUUUUGUGAAGUCUCAUACUUAGAAAAUAUUGAGCAGUUGUAAUCUUUGUGAUUAUAGUGAAAUCUCCUUGGAAGUGCAAGGGGGACUGGACUACUUCCGUGUUGUGGAAGGAACCAGGAUAACUGCUUGUGUCUUUGUCUUUCUUUUCUCUGCUCUGUUCUUUUCCGCUGCAAUCUGACUCUGACAUUUCAUCAGAAGCAAUCAAACUGCUUCUGAAGUUUUAUCAGAAGAAGUAUUUUUUAAGAGAAAAAGAAAACACAAUUCAACCCCCCCUUCUUGUGUUUUUCACCUUCAGUAUAACCCCGUACUGAUGUUUCAUCAGAUUAAAAAAAUUUACUCGAGUUCACAUUAUAAUACAUAUUUUGUUAAGAAAAUAUUUUACGAAAAAACUUACAAAAAUAUAUAGCUGUGUUUAUAUGUAGCUCAUACACUUUUGUGAAUUACAUAGACUAGUUAGAAUUUAGGCUUAAUACAUGCUUUGGUCCCUUAAUUUAUUUUUGAAUUUCGUUUUGGUCCCUUAACUUUAAACCGUCUCAAUUUGGUCCAAUAACUUUGCCUCCGUUUACCUAAAUGGUCCCUUCUGUUAGUUUUUUUAACAGAAGGGACCACUUAGGUAAACGGAGACAAAGUUAUGGGACCAAAUUGAGACGGUUUAAAGUUAAGGGAUCAAAAUGAAAUUCAAAAAUAAGUUAAGGGACCAAAUCAUGUAUUAGGCCUUUUUUUUAUAUAAUAAUUAAGAAGCAAAUGAUUUGUUAUAUACUAUGUAACAUAUAACACUUCAUAUUGAAAGGUUGUUCAGUUUCCAACAAAUCAAAACAUAUGUUUCUAUUCAAUAAAUUAAUUUUUUUCUUGAGUUAUUAAUCGUGUUGAUAUGUGUCCGCAUCAAUAUUUUGUGUCUAUGUUAGUGUUUCAUAGAUUGUAUUAUAUGUACAUGCAGACCCUGAAGCAAAAGUGAUAUCUUUAUCACCAAAAGCAUUGAUGGCAACAAACAGAUUCGUGUGUGAAAUUUGUCUAAAGGAUUUUCAAAGGGAUCAAAAUCUUCAACUUCAUCGACGUGGAUAUAACCUACCUUGGAAGUAUAUUAAAAUUUCAAAGGGAUCAAAGGAUUUUCUUUAUCUCUAAUUACUUAUUCUUAUCAUAAGUAUAUUAAAAUUUCAAAGCUAAUUAAUUAUCACAGUAAAAAGAAAAUCAGAAAUAAGUUCAAAAUUACAACAUUUAUUAACAUUUAUUUUUGAAUUUCAUUUUGAUCCUUUAACGUUAAACUGUCUCAAUUUGGUCCCAAAGGGACCACUUAGGUAAACAAAGGUAAAGUUAUGGGACCAAAUUGAGACAGUUUAACGUUAAGGGACCAAAAUGAAAUUCAAAAAUAAGUUAAGGGACCAAAGCAUGUAUUAAGCCUAGAAUUUUAAGUUGAAAACGCGCAAUUCAAUUUUAUUCAAAUUUCAAAGUGACUUCCAGUACAUACAUAAGUUAAGAUGCUUUGAUUCCCAAGGGUUACAUGAAACCAGAGGGAAUCAAAGUGUAACAGGUACAUAAUAAGCAUAAAGGUACUUACAUAAUAAGUGAUCCUGCUCAUUUUUCUUUCUUAAUCUAACGAUCUAUAACCAUCGUAAAGUUGGUCGUACAGGAUCUGAGUUUUGUCUUAUUCCAUAC